AAAAAAACAAAUCAUGGAUUUUCGUGUCCAACUUUGACUGUCCGUCUUAUAUGAAAUUUUUUUAUAAUUCGUAUUUUUAUUGUUGUUAGAUGAUAAAACAUGAUUAAUAUUUUAUGCGUAACUUGUCUUUUUAAUUUUUUUCAUAAUUUUUUCAAAUAAGACGGACGGUCAAAUGUUGGGCACGGAAACCAGGGUUUGUCUUUUU
rnacentral:pre_miRNA from 1 species